AUUGAACGCUGGCGGCAGGCCUAACACAUGCAAGUCGAACGGUAACAGGAAGCAGCUUGCUGCUUUGCUGACGAGUGGCGGACGGGUGAGUAAUGUCUGGGAAACUGCCUGAUGGAGGGGGAUAACUACUGGAAACGGUAGCUAAUACCGCAUAACGUCGCAAGACCAAAGAGGGGGACCUUCGGGCCUCUUGCUAUCGGAUGUGCCCAGAUGGGAUUAGCUAGUAGGUGGGGUAACGGCUCACCUAGGCGACGAUCCCUAGCUGGUCUCAGAGGAUGACCAGCCACACUGGAACUGAGACACGGUCCAGACUCCUACGGGAGGCAGCAGUGGGGAAUAUUGCACAAUGGGGGCAAGCCUGAUGCAGCCAUGCCGCGUGUAUGAAGAAGGCCUUCGGGUUGUAAAGUACUUUAAGCGGGGAGGAAGGGAGUAAAGUUAAUACCUUUGCUCAUUGACGUUACCCGCAGAAGAAGCACCGGCUAACUCCGUG
rnacentral:rRNA from 1 species